UAAGAAGAAGAAGAAGAAUACUCUCGCGUUGGAAAUCAGAAUGGAAUCCAAACAGUUUGUUGCUUGGAGGUCAAUCUUAACUGCUCAAGAUUAAGCUCGGUCACUUCUAUCGAGCACUUCGACCACACCGGAAGCGAUCCAGCCACUACUCCUGCGUAUUUCUCAAGGUAAUAUUGUAUACCAAAAAUCACAAUACACAUUUCACCAAUUUGACUAAUAAAGCCACUUUGUUAUAUAUAUUGAAUUAAUCCGUGGUGUUUGCCUUUGAUUAUUUCGUUUCAAAAUUAAACCCUUGGUGCAACUACG